GCCCUUAUAGCUCAGUGGUAGAGCAACGCUUUUGUAAAGCGUAGGUCGUUGGUUCAAAUCCGACUGGGGGCU
rfam:Synechococcus phage Syn19, complete genome.